GAUACGCAAAAAGCUACCACUAUGUCUCCACGAAGCUGAGUAUUUUCCUUGGAGUAGCUUUUUAUUUGGACAUAUGGAAUGAAACUUACUUAAUAUUCUGCAGAGAUCUUCCUGGUGUUUCCAAAAUGUCUCAGGUAUGUCUUUAUCAGCAUCAUGAAAACAGACUAAUACAGUAAGUUGAUACCAGUACAGUGGGGCAUUGCCGAAAAGAUACCUGAAAAUGUGGAAGUGACUUUGGAACUGGGUAACAGGCAGAGAUUGGAACAGUUUGGAGGGCUCAGAAGAAGAUAGGAAGAUAAGGGAGAGUUUGAAACUUCCUAGAGACUUGUUGAAUGGCUUUGCUCAAAAUGCUGAUAGUGAUAUGGACAAUAAUGUACAGACUGAGGUGGUCUCAGAUGGAGAUGAGGAACUUGUUGGGACCUGGAGCAAAGGUGACUUGUUAUGUUUUAGCAAAGAGACUGGCAGCAUUUUGCCCCUGCCCUAGAGAUUUGUGGAACUUUGAACUUGAGAAAGAUGAUUUAGGGUAUCUGGCAGAAGAAAUUUCUAAGCAGCAAAGCAUUCA